GUCUCUUUGGUCAAGUCUGUGCACAGCCUCACCCCUGGAUGUCUCAGGCAGAACCCUGGCUGGCCGCUUCUCUAACGGGAUCGCGUAUGCCCUGGCCUCCCGGACUCCGUUCAAUGUGAAAAGGGUGGUGCGCCUCUCUCUGCUUCAGAAACAUACAGAAACAUGUGGAAACGUCGCAUUUUUCAGACCCCAAGCCAUGUGUGCUGAAUUUUCCCAGACCUGAUCUUGAUGUAGAUAAAAGUGAGAAGCCCUGAGGGGGCGCAGGCUAUAGAAACCCUGCAUUGUCUGCUAUAAUUUAAUCAUCGUGGGCUGCAGAAUUUCUUUGCAUAAAUUACAACCACAAUGAUAGCAUCACUUUCACAAAAGGUGGCCUCCAAUCGAUUCAACCCUCCGAGAGAUGGCCGGGCUUUCGCCGCAGGGAAAGGAUUCACUGCCGUCUACAGGGCUGGAGAUCAUCGCUGGGGCUCUGGUGGUAGUCGGGGCGCACCUGGGGCAGAUUGCUGAUUCAGCUGAUGUGCCUUUUCCUCUCGGUGUGCGCUAACCACUUGGUUUUUAUUUUUCUAGGAAUAAGGGGGGAUUGGGAAUGGGCCCCGCCCCCACGUCUGGAGGAGGCAUGUGCCUCGGGUGAACCCCCGAAGGACAACAAGGUAGAGGAAAUGUUUUCCUGACGAUGCCUUCACUGGCCUAUUUUGCCGCUUCCUCUCCUUUCCCCCACCCCUCGGGCAAAGGUGAUUUUUAUAUUUCCUACGUUUUUAACGCUCUCGGGUCUUCUCGUACCUGGAAAAGCACAGAAUCUAUGCUGCUCCUGCCUCCCUUUCCCCAGCCCGAGCCCCCGAGAAGACAGGACCCCGGGAGCACGUUUUGUAAGCCUCUCUAUUGAAGCGAGGCCUUUAGGCAGCCGUGCGUGGCUGCAUUGUGGUGGUCCCCAAGUGCUCCGGACAAUCCCUUUGAAAGAAUAGGGUCGAGAAGAUUCUCAGGACAGAGGCAGCUAAUUUCCAUCCUUGAGGCUUUAUCUCACAAAGGAAACUCGAUGUAAAGAGAAGAAAUUAAGUCUGUGGAAAAUUUGCUCCCCUUUCCAAUGGCCUCAGGAUGAAAUGGAAUCUUCUCGCAUGUCCUCGAGAGAGGGAUGCUUUUCGUGCAAAAAUCUUCAAACCAACACGACCAACACACAUCACACCUAUGUGUGCGGAGGGAGGAAUGCAGAGGGAAAAACUCCAUGGCUACCAGCAUCCAGUUGGCGUUUAAUAAAGGUUAAGGGAAUAAGUGAAAACUACUCACCAUUGUCACUGCUGCUCCGAAAAGUAGUGAUGAUUAAUUGAGGCAAAUUUACAAUCCCUUUCAUAAUCGCAGCAGUAUGAAAGCCUUAUCUUCUCUUGCAUCACCAUGGGAACCUUUGAUGUUUAUUCCUGGGGGCAAAACCGCCGACCGGCCCUCCUGUGUGUAUGUGCACAUGUGAAAUGCAGCCCGGGGUCUAAAAGGGCUCUAAUUGCAUUGUGUGUAUUCAGGGGUGGUCAUGAGUCAAGGCACUUCCUGGGAAUGAUAGAGGAAAUCUCAGAUAAUGCAGCCUUGCGUAAUAAAAGUUUUCCUCUGGCUCUGUUUAUAUGUGUAAAUGGGAGGGGCUGAGUGGAAGAGAAGAGUGACAAUAAAGACAGUUAAGAAAGACAAGAAGUAUGUACAUAGCAGAUGAUUCCCCCCCACCCCCCUUCAAAUCGGAUUAUCUGGUUGCCUGCCCUCUAACUGGGCUGCGACGUCAGAUCCUGGAAGGCCGCACCGAGAGCCAGAUAAAGUCCCUGGUGCAAGGGUGUGUGUGCGAGUGUGUGUGAGUGUGUGUGUGUCUGUGCCCAGUUAACUCCAGGAGCCCUGCCCCGCGGCUGUGAACAAUUACCCAGGAAGUAGCCCCUCUGACCAUUUGAAUAGAAAACCUUCCCGAGGAGAACCCAGCCUCAGGGCCCCUGUCGGGGCAGAAAGAAAGGCUUGACCACUCUCAGAAGGUGGCUUGGUUUAAUGACCUCCGCUGCCGUUAGUACAUUUCCACGUUUUAUACCCUCCCCGCCUUCAUUCCUUAGCUUAAGAGAGGAAAACCUAUUGAAAUGAUUCGGUGGGGUUUCUCCUUUGUUGAAAAUAAAUCUCAUCACUCCCUGAGGUCUGGGACGUCAGGGAAGUGGUGAGGGUGGGCUUUGGAGCCAGGUAGGCCUGGGUGCUCAUCCCGAUUCCCCUGACUGCUGGCGCUUGGUUUUUUUGUCCCUCUCUGUUACGUCAGCCUUUCCGGGGAGCAUUUCUUUAUCUGCAGAACAGGGGCGAUGACGCCCAGUGAUGCCCGCCUUGCUGGGUCGUACUGUUUACGUAGGAGAAACAGGUGGCACACAAUAGAAGCUUAAUAAAGGACCAGCAAUUAUUACUGACCUUGUGUGUGCAUAUCAAUGUAUGUAAUGUCCUUCAUCUUGACUGAAAGCAAGUACGUUCUUCUGGAUUAAAGAGGAAAAAGGUCAUAAAAUGCCAGAGACCUACUUCCUUGGAACAUCUGCAAAGCUUGAAAUAAGGAGAUAAGAUAGCAGGGUCGAAGCUCUGCCACUAAUUAGGUACGGAAGCUUAACGAGCUCUGUCACCGCCCUGGCUUUCCGUUGUAAACAGAGCUGUGUUCUAGAUCAUGCU
rnacentral:lncRNA from 1 species